GACACAUGACAAAGAUCUCGCCACAGUUUGAGAAGUCUAGAAAAGUUAGUGGUCCUAGAGCACUGCAACCAAGCCAGUGGGGGAUGCUGUGCCCUUGUGACACCCCGGAAGGUGAAGCUUGUGGAUUGGUGAAAAACCUGGCAUUGAUGACUCAUGUUACGACAGAUGAGGAUGAGCAGCUUGGGCCACAUGACAAAGAUCUCGCCACAGUUUGAGAAGUCUAGAAAAGUUAGUGGCCCUAGAGCACUGCAACCAAGCCAGUGGGGAAUGAUGUGCCCUUGUGACACCCCGGAAGGUGAAGCUUGUGGAUUGGUGAAGAACCUGGCAUUGAUGACUCAUGUUACGACAGAUGAGGAUGAGCAGCCUAUUAUUUCUCUGUGCUACUGCUUGGGUGUUGAGGACUUGGAACAACUUUCUGCAGAAGAACUUCACAUGCCAAGUUCCUAUCUCAUCAUAUUA
rnacentral:lncRNA from 1 species